GUUCUACCUUGACGAAUUAUAGUUUAAAGAAGUGUUUUCUGUUAGAGGAGUAGCAAAAGUUCCUUGGAAUGGGACAUCAUAGAGGGUGAGAAUCCCGUAUUUGGUUAUUCUUUCUAGCUUUGUGAUACACUUUCAAAGAGUCGGAUUGUUUGGGAAUGCAGUCCAAAAUGGGUGGUAAAUUUCAUCUAAAGCUAAAUAUUGGCGAGAGACCGAUAGCGAACAAGUACCGUGAGGGAAAGAUGAAAAGAACUUUGAAAAGAGAGUUAAACAGUACGUGAAAUUGUCAAAAGGGAAGCGUUUGACACCAGUGUUGUUUUUCCGAAAAUCAAUUAAGAAGGACUUGAUUUUGUGUUGUAUUGACCUUAUCAGCUUUCUUCACUCUUUUUCGAGUCUUUCCU
rnacentral:rRNA from 1 species